AGAAUCAACGCUGGCGGCGUGCCUAACACAUGCAAGUCGAACGAGAAAGGGUAGCAAUACCUGAGUAAAGUGGCGCACGGGUGAGUAACACGUGACUAACCUACCCUGGAGUGGGGGAUAACUGAGGGAAACCUUAGCUAAUACCGCAUAAUACCUACGGGUCAAAGGAGCAAUUCGCUUUGGGAGGGGGUCGCGGCCGAUUAGUUAGUUGGCGGGGUAAUGGCCCACCAAGACAGUGAUCGGUAUCCGGCCUGAGAGGGCGCACGGACACACUGGAACUGAAACACGGUCCAGACUCCUACGGGAGGCAGCAGUGGGGAAUUUUGCGCAAUGGGGGAAACCCUGACGCAGCAACGCCGCGUGGAGGAUGAAGUACUUCGGUACGUAAACUCCUUUCGAUCGGGACGAUUAUGACGGUACCGGAAGAAGAAGCCCCGGCUAACUUCGCGCCAGCAGCCGC
rnacentral:rRNA from 1 species